rnacentral:rRNA from 2 species
UGGCGCACGGGUGCGUAACGCGUGGGAACCUGCCUUUAGGUUCGGAAUAACAGUUAGAAAUGACUGCUAAUACCGGAUAAUGUCUUCGGACCAAAGAUUUAUCGCCUUUAGAUGGGCCCGCGUUGGAUUAGAUAGUUGGUGGGGUAAUGGCCUACCAAGUCGACGAUCCAUAGCUGGUCUGAGAGGAUGAUCAGCCACACUGGGACUGAGACACGGCCCAGACUCCUACGGGAGGCAGCAGUGGGGAAUAUUGGACAAUGGGGGAAACCCUGAUCCAGCAAUGCCGCGUGAGUGAUGAAGGCCUUAGGGUUGUAAAGCUCUUUUACCAGGGAUGAUAAUGACAGUACCUGGAGAAUAAGCUCCGGCUAACUCCGUGCCAGCAGCCGCGGUAAUACGGAGGGAGCUAGCGUUGUUCGGAAUUACUGGGCGUAAAGCGCACGUAGGCGGCUUUUCAAGUCAGGGGUGAAAUCCCGGGGCUCAACCCCGGAACUGCCCUUGAAACUGGAUGGCUAGAAUACUGGAGAGGUGAGUGGAAUUCCGAGUGUAGAGGUGAAAUUCGUAGAUAUUCGGAAGAACACCAGUGGCGAAGGCGACUCACU